AGAAACUUAGGUUAACUUAAACCAGUAGCCUUCAAAGCCCCUAAUGGAAGUUAAAAUCUUCCAGUUUCUG
rnacentral:tRNA from 1 species